UCGACCCUACUAGAAGAAUAACAGGUAGUUUUCCUAUCUGCACUGCUAUUUAAGAUAGACUGGAAAGCUUGAAAGAUCAACAAUUUGACUAAAACAACCUCUUUGUAAUAAACAUAGUAUACCUCUUUUCUUGAAUGAAUUCACACUUUUAACGCUAUGGAGUCCAUCUUGCCACCAUAUCUUCUUACUGAAACUUUCCCUUCUUGCAUUAGUGUAAUAAGGGGAGCUAAAGCG
rnacentral:misc_RNA from 1 species